ACAGGUUUAAAGAGAAGAGGGGUCAGCAGUGUUCCAUUAUAGAGGCUUCCCUGCUCUUCACACGCCCUGGAUUGUAGCAGCAGCAGAAGCUGAGCUGGAAGUUGGUGUUUAUUUCUCCACUCACAGCUUCUGCCCUUUCCUGCAAAAGGAAAUCGAGAAACCACUCGUAAUUUACCAGAUAACCCCAGAAGCCUUGGUCGACAGACCAAAUUCUCCAGUCAAAGCUACGGGCUCCUGAGGAUAAACUGCUUCAAACAGCUUUUACCUUAAAGCCAACCUAGAAGUCUUUGACCCCCAGUUACAAGGUGAGUUAGGAUAAUGCAAGCUUAAAAUUAGAAGCAGGAUCUGGCUGUCCAGUGGUUAAGGCUUUGCCUUCCAAUGCAGGGGGUGCAAGUUUAAUCCCUAGUCAGGAAAAUAAGAUCCCACAUGCUUCACGGCCAAAAACCAAAACAUAAAACAGCAACGAUAUUGUAACAAAUUUAAUAAAGAUUUUAAAAAUGGUCCACAUCAAAAAAAAAAAUCUUAAAAAAAAAAUCAAAAGCAGGAUUAGAUUAGUCAUUGCUCAAUGACAGCAAAAGAUUAUUACCAAAAUAUUACCGAAAUAUUACCAAAUCUCAGGAACGUGGUUUUGUUUUGUUUUGUUUUGUUUCUAUUUUUUAUGUGUCU
rnacentral:lncRNA from 1 species